rnacentral:lncRNA from 1 species
UAGUUACAUUAACUAACAUUAACUAAUGGAACCGUAUUAGUAAAGUGUUACCAGUUAUAUUAAUGUCUAAAAUUCAGGAACUGAGCUAGAAUUGCAUGAGGUUUUUAAGUUCAGUUCUGAAAGGGAUGGACACUGUUUUCAGUAGAGUUGGGGGAAAACAUAAUAAGAAAUCAUAGUUAUUUUUAAGAAAACAUAAUGCAUGAUAAGCUUACAUAAUAUACAUUUCAUAUCAAAUAAUUUAUUAUUGAUGUUUACUAAAAGAAGGCUCCAUGCCCAUGUAGCCUGAGAAGAGAUUGUUCAAUGACACACACACACGCACGCACGCACGCACGCACGCACGCACGCACACACACACACACACACUUGCUCUGAGCGGGCUGGCAAGGCAGACCGAUAUCGUAUGCCGUGUCGUAAUAACUUCGUAUAGCAUACAUUAUACGAAGUUAUACGAAGGCCUAUACAUACUGUGGAUUAUUAAGGCUAAAUUUUACUAAACACUCUUGCUAAAUGGGGUAAGCACACUUACUUUCUCAUUUCAGAUGUGUAUGUUCUUCUAAGAAGUAAUGAUUUGUUAUACACCGAUUCAGACACUGACGGGCAGACCAAUUGCUUUAACCAUUCAUUAUAAUGAAUCGGCUCAAAGGAGUCAUUAGGUCGCGAAUCGGACUUUAGCGGACGUGUUGUGUGGGAAUCCUGGCUGUUAGGACAUCGGUACACACACACACACAUGCGCACACACACACACACACACACACACACACACACACACACACACACACAGGACACUCCUGUAAGAGUCCCGGAUGGUCAGUCGAUGUGGCUGCGCAGCGGAAAAACCCGCAGCGCUGAAUCUGGGAUGCGGCUACGGGUGCCGGGGAGGGCUUUUCUCAAACACAGAGGAUGAGGCGUUUCGUAAAGUGACCGCUAGAGAGCGCGCCUUCACUUUAUUGAUUAGUGAUUAACUUUUCUGCCUUUUUGUAGCAUAACGCAGAUACUUAGUACAAUGUUACAAUUAGAUAAAAAAGUAAUCUAAAUAACAUUUAGAUACAAAAUAAAUCGCCCCCCCACCCAACCCCAAAUAAUAUAUAAUAAAUUAAUUAAGUAAGUUAAGUUUAGUAGGCAUAACGCAGAUACUUAGUACAAUGGUUACAAUUAGAUUAAAAAAGUAAUCUAAAUAACAUUUAGAUACAAAAUAAAUGCCCCCCCCCCCCCCAAAAAUAUAUAUAGAAAAUUAUUAAGAAUUAAGUUUUGAAGAGGUUUUUGCUUUUUCAACACAGUCAUUAAUCACUAAGAUUAAAGGCUAGAGAUAGAAGGGAGAAAUUUAAAUUUAAAGGAAAAUAAAUAACUACGUAAAAAGUAAA